UCCUUUCUUCUUCCUCCUGUUGGGCCAGCCUACAGAUUCGGCCCGCAUGUGUUUUUCCCCUUCUACGACUUUAGCAUUUAUCCAGAGUUUACAGAUUUGCAGAAAACACCCUCAUGUUCAUGCAUAUAAUAUUUAAUUAACCAUGCAUCGGAUUAAAACAAAUUAUAUAUGUAAAAUGCUUAGAAUUUGAUCUAGUUUCAUAAUAUGCUACUUUCAACCAUGUUUGAAAUGUUAAACUUGCUGUUUGUUUAAUUUUGCAUAAAUGCCAUGUUAAAAUGAUUUAUUUCAUAACUAAUUAAGCGUAGCUCCGAAUUUAAUAAAAUUUAUAUGUAAAUGGGGUGGAAUAAUGCAUAGAUUAGCUUGGUGCACUUUGUUUUACUGUUUAACAACAUUAAAAUAUGAUUUAGGGUAGAACAGUAACAAAUUCAAAAUAUGCACAUGGGGAUUUUUCCGGAAUUGUUGUUUGUUGUUCCGGCCUCAUUUAAACUUGCCUAGAUAGGUAGUUUUCAUAUGCUUCACCCCUUGCCAUGUUUAAUAACAUUUAAUAUUGUUGGGUAAAUAAACGAGAGAGAACUAAAUAAUUGAUGUGGUGUUUCAUCAAUAUGCAACGAGUUAAAACGAACAUGCAUCAUACUUAAUUUGUAGUAUUGUUUGUGCACUUUGCCAUCCAUGCCUCAUUAAAAUGGACAUGCAUCAUACUUGAUUUUGCAUCAUGCCAUGCUUAUGUGAUGGUUCUUUACCAUGUUGUUUGCUUCUUUCCGGUUGCGCUUCGGUUACGUUGCGAUUGUGAGGAUCCGUUCGACUACGUUGCUUCGUCUACUUCUUGGACUUGGUCUUCUUCCUAGCGGGAUUGCAGGCAAGAUGAUCAUUACCCUCAAUAUCACUUAUAUCUUUGCUUGCUAGAUGUUUCAUUCUAUUGCUAUGUCGUGCUAUCUACCACAUGUUUAUCAUGCCUCCCAUAUUGCCAUGUCAAGCCCAUAACCCACCUUCCUAGCAAACUGUUGUUUGUCUAUGUUACCGCUUUUGCUCAGCCCCUCUAAUAGUGUUGCUAGUUGCAGGUGCCUUGCAGGUUGUUCCAUGUUGCAGGUGCCGAUGAUACCAGUGCAGGUGAUGCUACCGAACUCAAGUGGGAGUUCGACGAGGACCUUGGCCGUCACUAUGUUUCAUUUUUUGAUGAUCAGUAGUGGAGCCCACUUGGGACGAUCGGGGAUCUAGGAUUUGGGGUUAUCUUCUUUUCAUUUGGAUUUGUCCGUAGUCAGACUAUGUGUGUACUCUGAUGAUGUAUGAAUUAUAUGAUCUUUGUGUGAAGUGGCAAUUGUAAGCCAACUUUAUUUAUCCCUUUCUUGUUCAUUACAUGGGGUUGUGUGAAGAUGACCCUUCUUGCGACAAGACCACAAUGCGGUUAUGCCUCUAAGUCAUGCCUCGACACGUGGGAGAUAUAGCCGCAUCAUGGGCGUUACAAGUUGGUAAUCAAAGCCAUCCCCGACUUAGGAGCCCCCUGCUUGAUCGAAUCGCUAACGUUGUUGAGUCUAGAACAAAAAUGUUUUGAGUCUUAGGGUUAUAUAUAUCGGAGAGUAGGAUUCUUUUUACUCCUCAGUCCCUUCGUCGCUCUGGUGAGGCCUCCUGACGUAGAUAUUUUGACUUUCCUCUCCUAAUUUUCACUAAAAAAAAUUUACGAUCACGCGGGUAUCUUGGGAUCGUUCCGAUAUUCUUGUGACGAGAACAUUGUUCUUGGUGCCUCCUAACAUUUAAGGGUUGUGGAAGUGUCUCGGGGAGUUGAGCUCCGAGGUGUUGUCGUCACAAUUUUAUCGUUGCAGUUCUAGAAUACCUGAGUUUGCUGACAUCGAAAAUCUCUUUUAUGCAGUUAGUGGUGAGAUAACCUCGACGCCACCCAGUAAUGCGGCGGGAGUUCGAGAGUAUUGCCACAACUCGUAUAACGGAUGCUUUUCGAAGGUUGAUGUACAUGAUUUUCGGAGUUUUCUUGGUUAUGUGUUGAUGGAUGGAUACAACUGGAUGUAGGGUUUGUUAGUUGGGUGAGAUAUUGUGCUUCCCCUGUAUCGCCAACACCAGAUUGCAUGACCAGAAAGUUUCGGGAGUUUAUAGGUGGGAAUUCAAGUAGCUUCUAGAAUAACUUUCCGACAAAUGCAUGAUAUGGGAUUGGGUAAAUUUCUAUCAUAUGUUUGUUUCUGGCUAAUUUUCCAAGCCAGAUCCUUUGUUUUGUCUUGGUUUGUGGUAUUCGAGUUGCUUCAUUGUCAAGUGUUGAUUCCAUACCUUUUUCCUAAGCGGUGUUCUCAUAUUUCUAUGUGAAUACUAAUUUUAUCAUCGAGGUUGUCAUAUUAAUUCUUUUCUAACCGGCGUGCUUCUCUCCAGGCUAAUCCUAUCAUUUUUUCCCAUUCGCGAGAUCAAUUCUAAGUUUUCUCAACGGUGUUCGUUUCAUCCGACCCAAGUUGCCUUUGUUUUUCCCACCCUCCCACCCUUUUCUUCAAGGACUCAAAUUUCUCAAUCAAUUAUCAUUUUAUUGAUGGGAAGUCUCCCCAUUCUUUUUCUUCAAUGUUCUAAUCCGGUGAUUCUCAGGAAGAUGCUAAGGAAUCUUCAAGUUUAUAAUUCUUUGUUCACUUUUCUUCUCCGGUGGAUUCAAUUCAAGCUUUCGGUGUUGAUCAUAUCCCUUUUCCUCCUUUCAAAUGCUUUCUCAUGCCGGUGGACCUCUUAAUCAUUCACUUCUCGCUAUUCAAGGGUUCCGGAGUGUUGAAGAUCUCUCAGAAGAAUCACGUUUCCAUUCUCAAUCCGUUCAAGUUAUUUCGAGGUUGUUAUCUCAUUCAAGCCAUUUAAUUCAACCGGUGCAAUCCCCCCUUUCAAGUAAUCAUUCAACGGUGUUUCUUUUGAGUGGGCCCUAAUCCACAUGUCUUUUCCCAGGAUGUUACCUGACUCUUCUAAUUUAUCCGGAGCGAUUCUCAAAUUCUUACAAAGUUUGACAUAAGAAGGAUUUCUCAUUAGUCAAAUGUAUCCUCCAAGUUCGCUUUCAUAUUAUUUUCAUUGUUGGUUCAACCUUUCUAUUCCUCUUCCGGAGUGCCCGAACAAUUCAUGGUGGUUCUCAUCAUCAUUCUCGACAUUUGAAGACCGAAGAAGGAUUUCUCCUCAAUCUUGGUCCGUUCUCUUGAAGAUUCAUAGUUCUAGCUUAUGCAAUCCUCUCAUAAUUGUUUUUGAUUGUGAGAAUUCUUUUCACCCAUCCGACGCAUUUCAGGGGUUGCUUUCCUUUUUCGAUCAUCCGAAGGCCACUAUUUCAGAAGAUCUCUUGAUUCUGAAUUGAUGUCUCUUCAUUCAUUCUCCAAUGCUUCCGGUGCACCGUUCAGGUAUUCUCUAGUCUGCUUGUCAUCUCUUCAUUCUCUUGUAUCUAAAAUCUCUCAAGUAUCUUCGUUCGUUUCUCUAUUUCUUCCCGGUGUUUCUUUAUCUUUCUUCGUUCAUUUUCAGUUCUUACGGUGCUUCGUUUAAGAUUCCUCCUCCUUUGAUAUCAUAUCAAUUUAUUCGUUGUUUCAAUCCUACCGGUGGUUCGUUGAAGACCUUCCCAAGUUGAGAAAUAUCUCUCUUCAAUCCUUUUUCAAUGAGUAUAAGUAGUAUGCCAAAUCUGUUGCUUGUCAUCAAUUUAAAUUGAUGAAGGAUACACAUGAUGUAAUUCUUAUUCUUGUUUCAUCCAAGUGUUUAAUCCCUUCCUUCGGAGUUUGUUCAUGAUGAAGUAAUUCAUCGGUUCUAGUGUUUCAUUUUUUCCUUUUCUGGAGUUCCAAGUUUUCUCGGUUAUAUCGUCGCGAAGCUCCAUCUAAAUCAUUGCCAGGCUUCACCUUGUGUUUUCAACUUCUCUUUCUUUCUAUCAUCCUUUUAUUACCGGAGUUCUUCAUGGAGGCUCUACAUGGUGGUUCGUCAAGGAUUCCAUUCAUUCUUCAAUUGUCCUUGAAGAUUUCUCUCAGAGUUAAGAUCCGCCAAGCUAUACUCUAAAAUAAACAUGUUGCUCAACACAUGUUUCGUUUUGAGGAGUUCAAGCAUUCCUCAUCUUGCAUCCGAAGUGCAGUUCUUUCUAUCUCAUCUCUUGAGGUGGUGUUGUGCCAUUCUUGAUAAUUCCCCCUCGUGUUUCAUGAUUCACAAGUUUUCAAGAGUGACAUAUUUUAAACCCAUCAUUUUCAAUUCGUUCACGAGAUCUUUUCAACCCAACAAUUUCUUCGUUGGUGUUAUCUUGGUAUAGAUUUCACUUAAAGCCUUCCCUAAGGAAUGUUGCUACUAUGGUGUUUAUCAAUGAUCCAAGUUUUCCUCCUAUUCUCGCGGUGAAAGAAGUUUUUCCAUCUCUUCGUUCCUCUCAGCUAAUCAAUCUUUUGGUAGUGGCUGGAUGUCACCUCAUAAUUUUGAGAUGUCUCCAUAAGCCCACGAGGAUCAUAUCCUCUAGUAUUGAUCUUCCAACAACUCCGUUCAAUCCUUAUUUUUAAGCAUGAUAUAUUCAUUUGUGGUAGAAGAUGUCAUUUUCUUCUCAAUUAUUUUCUUUCCAACGAUCCAACAUCUAUUCUUUCGUUCCGGAGUCAUGGUGAUGUUGCUCUCUUUGACCCAUCAUCCCGUUGUGUCAAGAUCAUGAUCUUUUCCUUGCUUAUCCAUUUCACAGGAGUGUUGUGUCAUCUCUGUGACACCCUCGAUUCAAUCAUACACUAAUCAUACACGCAAAUGUGUACGAUCAAGAUCAAGGACUCAUGGGAAGAUAUCACAACACAACUCUAGACACAAAUUAAAAUAAUACAAGCUUUAUAUUACAAGCAAGGGGCCUCGAGGGCUCGAAUACAUAAGCUCGAAACCACAAGAGUCAGCGUAAGCUACAUUAACUGAGUACAGACAUGAGUUAGACAAGUUUGCCUUAAGAAGGCCAGCACAAAAGCAUCUAAGAUCGAAAAGGCAAGGCCUCCUGCUUGGGAGCCUCCUAACUACUCCUGGUCGUCGGCGGCCUCCACGUACUAGUAGGCAUCAACGGUGGCAUCUGGCUCCUGGGCUCCGACAUCUGGUUGCAGCAACCGGAAAGAAGAAGAAAGGGGGGAAAGGGGUAGCAAAGCAACCGUGAGUACUCAUCCAAAGUACUCGCAAGCAAGGAUCUACACUACAUAUGCAACAUUAUCAAAGGAAGGCUGUAUAUGUGGACUGGGCUGCAGAAAUGCCAGAAUAGAGAGAAGGCCUAGUCCUAUCGAAGACUAGCAACUUCUGGAAACCACCAUCUUGCAGCAACAGGAGGGAGUAGAGUAGCAUAAAGUAAAGUAGUCGUAGUGUUAUCAACCUCGGCCAGAGAUCCUUUCUCGACUCCCUGCGAGAAAGCAACCCCAGAGCCAUACUAUCCAUUUCUCAUCACAAUCCAUUUCUCAUCACAAGCAUCUAGUUCUAGUUGUAUCGAUCGGGAUACAACUCCAAGUGUCCGUUACCGUAGGACAGGCUAUCGAUAGAUGUUUUCUUCCCUGCAGGGGUGCACCAACGUACCCACCACGCUCGAUUGACUCCGGCCGGACACACUUUCCUGGGUCAUGCCCGGCCUCGGCCAAACAAUACACCGCAACCCGACCUAGGCUUAAUAGAGAGGUCAGCACGCCGUACUAAACCUAUGCCCCCAGGGGUCAUGGGCCAUCUCCCCGGGAACUCCUGCACAUUGCGAACGCGGCCGGUGAGCAGACCUAGCUACCUCCUUCAACAAGGCAGGUGCUUACGCAGUCCAACCCGGCGCGCGCCGCUCAGUCGCCAACGUCUAUUAAGCUUCGGCUGAUGUAUACGACGCAAAACGCCCAUACUAUGCCCACGUGAUGGUUAGUGCUAUCAGGCCAGAGGCCCCUCGGAUCAAAUAUCCAAAUUGUAGUGGAUUAGGAGCACGCGGUAACAAGCAGAGACUCACGAAAGAUGUGACCCCGUUGCCCCGUCUCGAGGACUUGCAGCAAGGGCUAGGAAUGCCCGGCCACGCCUCAUAAUUAUCUCGCGGGCACCCUCCAGGUCAACUCGACUCCUCAUCACUCGCAAAUAUGCUCGCGCGGGUACCCUUUGGGGCUGACCCGUCUUUAGUAACAGGGUUCAGUGUAAAUUCAUAGUAACCAUAGUAACUGUGUGUCCAAACAUCAAGGGGAAAACCCGAGGAAUCACCCCCGGUGUAUUCCACUUGAUGUAAUCAUCAAGGUGAACGUAAGAGGAACCACACCCGAGGUUCACACUUGAGGGGUUGCACGAUAGAGUCGUAUCGAAAGUGGUCAAGGCGGAAUCACCCCGAUGACCACGAUCGAAUAGCUACACUACAGGGUUAACAUCAGAAGUGAUGUAGAGGUCUCACCCCCGGCACUCGAUAGUAGCCCAGUAGUGUCGAGAAACUAAGGGGAAAGUGAUGCGGGGUCGGGGCCUGGUUUCGAUCCCGUUGAUCGGGUCUUCGACGAUGAAGUAGGGGCAACAAGGAUAAGGUGGGGGUCACUUAUGGAUCACUAACCAACCUAUACUAAGCAGUUUAGGAUAAGUAGGUAAGGUACAAUGAGCAGGUUACCAAAAGUAGGCUAUGCAUCAGAAUAGGAGCAAACAAUAACAGUAGCAAAAUCUAAUGUAAGCAUGAGAGAAUGGAAUGGGCGAUAUCGGGAUGAUCAAAGGGGGGGCUUGCCUGGUUGCACUGGCAAGGAGGGGUCGUCGGUGACGUAGUCGAUCAUAGGGGUGGCAUCGGUCUCGGGGUCUAUCGGAGAGAAGAGGGGGAAGAAACAAUAAAUAUAAAGCAAGCAUAGCAUCACAAAGCAUAACAUGGCAAUAUGUUGUGCCGGGUGUGACCUAACGUAUGGCUACACGAUAAAGGUGAAGGGGGAAUUCAACCGGGAAUGUAUUCCCGGUUCCGCACCUGUAUCAAACAGAUGACCGGAGGGGGAAUGUUCCAUGUUCAGCAUGCUAGGGGCAUGUGGCAGAUGAACGGACCUCGUAUUCGGAUUCGUUGGAUUUUUCUGAGCAACUUUCAUGUAGAAAACAUUUUCAUCGGAGUUACGGUUUAUUUUCUAUGAAUUUUCAAAGAUUAAACCAUUUUCUAGAAUUAACUAAAUUAACAGAAAUGAAAAUAUGACGUCAACAGUCAACAGUCCGGUUGACUGGUCAAAACUGACAUGGGGGACCCACCUGUCAUAGACAGUGGGUUAAAUAGAGUUCAAACUAAUCUAAAUUUAGUUUAGUAAAACUACUGGGCCCACCUGUCAGUAUCUAAUUAAGCUAAUUAAUUUAUUUUAAAAUCCUUUAGCUAAUUAGUGGAGGUGGGGCCCAUUUGUCAGCAGCUGGGCUGGUCCAGUCAGCAGUUGACCCGGUCAACAGGUCAACUGGACCCACUGGUCAGUGGCACGGCGGGCCCCAGCAGUCAGUCCAGGUCAGCGGGGGCCGGCGACCCGCCGGAAUCACGCCGGCGAGCGCGUUCGCGGCGGCCCGAGGACGGGCACCGGUCGGAAACCGCGCACAGGCCACCGUUUUGGUCGCGGUUGGGUGCAUUGGAACGGUGAGUCGACGGCGCGUCGACUGGCGGUGGUCGGAGUGGCUGAAACGACCGGAAACGAGCGGCACGACCUCGUCGGCGACGAGCUUGUUCGGGAGCUCUACGGAGAGACCAUUUCGGCACGCGAACGAACGAAGUAAAGAGCAUAGGCGGGUGCUACGCAGUGCGGCGAAUCUAACGGGCACCCGCCCGUGACCAUAAGGUCACCGGAGACUCGCCGACGACGAUCCCCGCGGCGCUACGUUCGGGCGCGCGUGGAAAAGGUAGCUAGGAUACGCGCUAGGGCCAGCAGGGAGUGGGGAAGGAAGAGGAGCUCACCGGGGAGGCACAAGUAGCAGCAGCAGUCGCCGAAGAUGACGGAGUUCGCCGGCGACAAUGGCGGAAGGGGACGGCUGGCACCGCUCGCUGUGGAGCUCUCCGGCUCCAACGAGGGGCGCCAGACAACGCAUCUCUUCGCGGCGGAGCGCUACGGCAUGAUGGCUCGGCUCGGAGACGACGGGGACCGCGAGGACGACGGUGUGCAGCGGCAGGUGCGUUCGGGUGGUGGAUCUGAGAAGGAGGCGAGCAGGCGGAUCUGGUGGGGAGAGGGAGAGACAGAGAGGACGAGGGGGGAGUGGGAGAAGGGCCCGAGGCGCCGGGGGGCGUGGAGGCCUUAUCCUCCUCGACGCCAGCGAGCGGGUGCGGUGGGGCGCGCUCGGGGCGCGCACCGGGUCGGUGGAACAGGAGGGAGGCGCGGUGCGGGGAGCUGGGCCGGCUGGGCUGGUUGAGGUCCAGGGGGGCAGGGGCGGUGGGCCGUCCGGCUGGCCGAGGUGGGCCGAGGCCCAAGGGGAGGCCAGGGCUCUCCCACCCCUUCUUCUUUCCUUUUCCUUUUUCUUUUCUUUUUUAAAGCUUUUCUGUUUUACCUAUUUUAGGCCACUUAGACAUUUUGCAAAAAUGUUGGUUCACCACCAAUAUUACCAGAAGAAUAUGUUCCACAUGAUGAACAUUCUAGUUUUCAUGUCUGAGCAUUUUUGAAUUACACACAUAAAUUCAAAUUGAAUUCAACUGGAAUUUGAAAUGGAAUAUUGAUCAAAGUGACCAAGCACUGCUAUAGCAAAAUGAUUAGCUUGAUCUCAGGGAUUACUGUAGCAUCAUUACACCGGGGUGUUACAAUCUCGUCAAGUUCUUUUCAUCUUAUCAAGUUUUGCUCCUCUUGUCAACCGCAGAGCUGUCCGAAUUCUAUCAUUCUUGUUCCUUGGCUAUCGUGUUAUACUGGUGUGGUUUCAUAUUCUCUUUGGUUCGUUAAGCUCUUAUUUCAUGUCUUUCAACCUACAAGGUUCUCAUAAUGUUCCUUGUUCCUCUCAUGUAACGGAGUGUUUUCAACUUCAUUCAUCUCCGGUGUAUUCUUUCCUUGAAAUUGUUUAACCUCUCAAGGUUCGUGGUUUCACUCGUUUGUCAAAGAAGCAAUUUUUUUACCUCUUCCUCUUCCGUUUUUCUCCGGUGCCAUCCCUAGAUCUCGGGGAGAGAUCUCUUGUAAGUGGAGGAGAGUUGUAACGCCCCAAGACCCACGCUCCAGACGCCUUCCAUGUUUUACUUUGUUGCUGUGUUAUUUAUUUGUUUGUUGCAUUUCAUCAUGUCAUCAUGAGCAUUGCAUCCACAUGUUUUCAUAAAAUUUGCAUCCGUUCGUAAUGGCCAGUUCUUCUUUGUCCCAGUUCGCCUUUAUCAGACCAACUGGGUUUUAGAUUCCCUCUUGUCAAACCACCUAACCCUUCUUUGCACCGUGCAUCAACCUCUCGAGCACGUCCGAAACUGUCCCGAACUCGAACUUCUCAGUCUUCACCAUUGUAUCCGGAUCAUCCUCAAACAUCCCUAAAAUAUCUUCGGUUCGUUGUUUAGACGUCCUAGCAUAUUUCCGGGACCUUCCAAUUAAAAUCGAAGGGACCAAAUGCCCUUACCAAAAAUCCACUUGCUAUAUAUAAGAUCACCACCUACCAAAUCAACCCAACCCUAAUUUCUAGAAGGUUUUUCCCCAUCACUGCCGCGGCAGCUGCCGCCGCCCGGUCUCGAUCCACCUUGGGAUCCCCUUCUCCUCGUUUUCCUCCACCCACCAACAGGAGCCUGGGCUCCUUCUCCCCGACCCCGAGCACUCGAUCCACCUCGCCCGUGCCUCCUCCUCCAAAUCCGAUCGGGAAAGGAGCUCCCGAUCUGAAGCUUCCUGGCGCCCACGGUCCAGCGCACUCGUGCCCAAGGCCUCACCUCUUCCUCCUCUACCCGACGCCUACCGUUCCCGCCAUGGAUUUGGAGCUCACCUCUGCUUCUGAUCCGCGCCGCCCCAGGAACCGAUGAUGCCGGAGCCCCUCCUCACCUUGCCACCUUCUUCGCGGGAGCCGCCUCGCCUCCCUGUGCUCCCUCCUCGUCGCGCGCCCACGGGACGCGCCCGUCCCGAGCUCCUGCUCGGUCCCCGAUGCGGUGCCGCCAAGUCCUCUCCUCCACCAGUACCACCAGGCCGCGCCACACUGUCGUCUCCUUCCUCCGUUUCUUCCCUUCCCUCCGGUUCCCUCUCUCCCUCACGAUCUCUCCUCUCUGUUUCUCUGAAUAGGAGUUCAGCUCACCACCGACCGGAGCCGCUGGAGCUGAGCCGCCGUCGUCCUGCUCGACCCCACCGUCCAGAUCCGCUCCGUGCCGCCCCAUUCUGUCGUUCCCCGACGUCCCUGCACCUUCAAGCGCCGCCGCCGCAGCAAGUCCAUCGCGUCAGCCUCUGCUUCCGCUUCAACGAGCAGCAGCAGCUCGUGCGUCAUUACGUUGACCGCGUCAACCCGCCACCUGGGCCAUGGGCCCGCUGCCUCGCUUGCCUCCGCCCUGAGCCGCGCCCAGGAUCCAGUGCGCCCCAGCCGGCCUCCUUCUCCACCGAACUGGGCUUGGCCCAUGGUGAGCUCCCCAGCGCCCCUCCUUUCUUCUUCCUCCUGUUGGGCCAGCCUACAGAUUCGGCCCGCAUGUGUUUUUCCCCCUUCUACAACUUUAGCAUUUAUCCAGAGUUUACAGAUUUGCAGAAAACACCCUCAUGUUCAUGCAUAUAAUAUUUAAUUAACCAUGCAUCGGACUAAAACAAAUUAUAUAUGUAAAAUGCUUAGAAUUUGAUCUAGUUUCAUAAUAUGCUACUUUCAACCAUGUUUGAAAUGUUAAACUUGCAGGUUGUUUAAUUUUGCAUAAGUGCUAUGUUAAAAUGAUUUAUUUCUUAACUAAUUAACCGUAGCUCCGAAUUUAAUAAACUUUAUAUGUAAAUGGGAUGGAAUAAUGCUUAGAUCAACUUGGUGCACUUUGUUUUACUGUUUAACAAUAUUAAAAUAUGAUUUAGGGUAGAACUGUAACAAAUUCAAAAUAUGCAAACGGGGAUUUUCUGGAAUUGUUGUUUGUUGUUCCGGACUCAUUUAAACUUGCCUAGAUAAGUAGUUUUAAUAUGCUUCACCCCUUGCCAUGUUUAAUAACAUUUAAUAUUAUUUGGUACAUAAACGAGAGAGAACUACAUAAUUGAUGUGGUGUUUCGUCAAUAUGCAACUCGUUGCAUAUUAAUCUCCACUUAAUUUGUAGUAUUGUUUGUGCACUUUGUCAUGCCAUGCCUCAUUAAACCGGACAUGCAUCAUACUUGAUUUUGCAUCAUGGCAUGCUUAUGUGAUGGUCGUUUAUCAUAUUGUUUGCUUCUUUUUGGUUGUGCUUCUCCUUGAUAGUUCCGGUUACGUUGCGAUUGUGAGGAUUCGUUUGACUACGUUGCUUCGUCUACUUCUUGGACUUGGUCUUCUUCCUAGCGGGAUUGCAGGCAAGAUGAUCAUUACCAUCGAUAUCACUUCUAUCUUUGCUUGCUAGAUGUUUCGUUCUAUCGCUAUGUCGUGCUACCUACCACUUGUUUGUCAUGCCUCCCAUAUUGCCAUGUCAACCCCUAACCCACCUUUCUAGCAAACCGUUGUUUGGCUAUGUUACUGAUUUUGCUCAGCCCUGUUAUAGUGUUGCUAGUUACAGGUGCCUUGGAGGUUAUUCCAUGUUGGAACAUGGAUUUGUUGGGAUAUCACAAUUUCUCUUAUUUUAAUUAAUGCAUCUAUAUACUUGGCAAAGGGUGGAAUGCUUGGCCUUUUGCUCGCUGUUUUGUUCCACUCUUGCCGUCCUAGUUUUCGUCAUACUGGUGUUAUGUUCCUUGAUUUUGUGUUCCUUAUGCGGUUGGGGUUAUGGGCCCUCUUUGACAGUUCGCUUUGAAUAAAACUCCUCCAGCAAGGCCCAAUCUUGGUUUUAACAUUUGCUUAACAACCCCCUAACAUUUUUCCCUUGGGAGUUGCAAACCCGAGGGUCAUCUUUAUUUAACCCCCGGGCCAUCCCACCCGGGCGAUGUCCGGCGCCCCCUGGGCAACCAGGGUCUAUGCCAACCCGAUGUCUUGCACAUCCGGUGUGCCCUGAGAACGAGAUAUGUGCAGCUCCUAUCGGGAUUUGUCGGCACAUUCGGGCGGUCUUGCUGGUCUUGUUUUACCAUUGCCGAAAUGUCUUGUAAACGGUAUUCCGAGUCUAAUUGGGUUGUUCCAGGAGAAGGAAUAUCCUUCGUUGAUCGUGAGAGCUUGUGAUGGGCUAAGUUGGAACACCCCUGCUUGUGAUGGUCUCUUUUCGGCGGUGUUCGGUAAGUGAACACGGCUUGGGUUAUGUUUAAACAUAAGUAGUUCAGGAUCACUUGUUGAUCACUUCUAGUUUAACGACCGUUGCGUAGCUUCUCAUCUUACUCUUGUACUCGUAUGUUAGCCACCAUAUUUGCUUAGCGCUUGCUACAACUCCACCUCAUAACCACAUCCUACCCAUAAGCUUAAAUAGUCUUGAUCUCGUGGGUUUUGAGAUUACUGUGUCCUAGUGACUCACAGAUACUACCAAAACGGUUUCAGGUGCCGAUGAUACCAGUGAGGUGAUGCUACCGAACUCAAAUGGGAGUUCGACGAGGACCUGGGCCAUUACUAUGUUUCGUUUCCUGAUGAUCAGUAGUGGAGCCCACUUGGGACGAUCGGGGAUCUAGCAUUUGGGGUUAUCUUCUUUUCAUUUGGAUUUGUCCAUAGUCGGACUAUGUGUGUACUUUGAUGAUGUAUGAAUUAUAUGAUCUUUGUGUGAAGUGGCGAUUGUAAGCCAACUCUAUUUAUCCCUUUCUUGUUCAUUACAUGGGACUGUGUGAAGAUGACCCU
rnacentral:lncRNA from 1 species